AACAGCUGAGUGAUUUAAAGCAAUCAAAUUCCUUUGGCUUUAAAUCAUGCAGCUGUUGA
rnacentral:pre_miRNA from 1 species